rnacentral:tRNA from 1 species
AUUUAAGUAGCUUAAAAAGAGCAUAGCAGUGAAGAUGCUAGGGUAAUAGUAUAUUCUUAAAUA